ensembl:misc_RNA Metazoa_SRP Metazoan signal recognition particle RNA
GCUGGGUAUGGUGACAUACACCUAUAAUCCCAGAGCCCAGGGAGGCUGAGGCUGGUGGAUCUCUUGAGCUCAGGAGUUCUGAGCUAUAGUGGACCAUGCUGGUUGGGAAUCUGAACUAAGAUUGGCAUCAAUAUGGUGAACCUCUGUGAUUGUGGAGCUACAAGGUUGCCUAAGGAAGGGUGAAUCAGACCAACUCAGAAAUGGAGCAAGUCAAAGUUCCCAUGCCAAUCAGGAGUAGAAUUAGGCCUCUGAGUAGCUCAAGCACUUCUAGGCUGAGUGAGAUAGGGAGAUACCAGUCUUU